rnacentral:rRNA from 1 species
GACGAACGCUGGCGGCGUGCCUAAUACAUGCGAGUAGAACGCUGAAGAGAGGAGCUUGCUCUUCUUGGAUGAGUUGCGAACGGGUGAGUAACGCGUAGGUAACCUGCCUUGUAGCGGGGGAUAACUAUUGGAAACGAUAGCUAAUACCGCAUAACAAUGGAUGACACAUGUCAUUUAUUUGAAAGGGGCAAUUGCUCCACUACAAGAUGGACCUGCGUUGUAUUAGCUAGUAGGUGAGGUAAUGGCUCACCUAGGCGACGAUACAUAGCCGACCUGAGAGGGUGAUCGGCCACACUGGGACUUGGACACCGCCCAGACCCCUACGGGAGGCAGCAGUAGGGGAUCUUCGGCAAUGGGGGCAACCCUGACCGAGCAACGCCGCGGGAGUGAAGAAGGUUUUCGGAUCGUAAAGCUCUGUUGUAAGUCAAGAACGGGUUUUAGAGUGGAAAGUUCACGCUGUGACGGUAGCUUACCAGAAAGGGACGGCUAACUACGUG